ACACGGGGCAUGCCUUAGUACGGCGAGUGAAGCGGCAAAAGCUCAAAUUUGAAAUCGGCCACCAGGUCGAGUUGUAAUUUGUAGAUUGUAUCUUGAGAGCGGAUUAAAGUCUGUUGGAACACAGCGCCUUAGAGGGUGACAGCCCCGUAAAAUCUAUUCUCAUUGUAAGAUACUUUCGAAGAGUCGAGUUGUUUGGGAAUGCAGCUCUAAGUGGGAGGUAAAUUCCUUCUAAAGCUAAAUAUUGACGAGAGACCGAUAGCGAACAAGUACUGUGAAGGAAAGAUGAAAAGCACUUUGAAAAGAGAGUGAAAAAGUACGUGAAAUUGUUAAAAGGGAAGGGUAUUGAAUCAGACUUGGUGCUGUUGUUCAACUGUGUUUCGGCAUAGUGUACUCAGCAGUACUAGGCCAAGGUGGGGUGUUUGGGAGUGAAAAAGAAGUUGGAAGGUAACUCUUCGGAGUGUUAUAGCCUACUUUCAUAGCUCCUCAGGCGCCUCAGGACUGCGCUUCGGCAAGGACCUUGGCAUAAUGAUUCUAUACCGCCCGUCUUGAAACCCCGGGCAACA
rnacentral:rRNA from 1 species